rnacentral:rRNA from 1 species
AUGCCCAGAGAUCUCAGUCAGUGGAUAAUGAAGCAUUACGACCCGGAGAUUUCGCAGAUAGUCAUUCCAGAAAGGGGGAAGAUUCCUGUAGAUGCUGCAAGUGUCCGUAGGAUAUGGGGUUUGCCCAACAGGGGCAUGAAGCUGUUGUACCUAGACUCUCUGGAUGUUGAUGAGCCAAUCCCGAACUUGGUACCAAGGGUUUCAGUUUGGAAUUCAGAUUUAAUCUCCAGAGUUAUCAAGAAGGACAGGAAGGCUCCAGGAGAGUAUGGCCAUUUGCGGGGCAAAUCAUCUAGCCAGGGAGCACGACAAACGGUUGACAUGGGGACGGAAGACGGAACUGAGGGGAACGAGGACAAUGAUGAUGAUGAAGAAGAAGAGGAUGACGAAAAAGAAGACGAGGAAGGAAAGGAGGACGAUGACGAUGAAGAAGGCGAUGGGGAUGACAAAGACAAGGAAGAUGAUGGGCAAGGGAAGCAUGAUGAAGAUGACAGCGGAGGUGGCAACGGUGGUUCAGGCAGCAAUGGUGGCUCCGAUCGGGACGAGGAUCCCGCAGCUGAAAACCGAAGCAGCGAUGAUGAUGAACAAUGCACGCUGCAAUUUCUGAUUCAAACGAAGAGGGACAGAAAGGCAAAAGGAUUGGAUGAGGCAGAUAGGGCAGCCAAUGGUAUCCAGAGGGUCAAGGUGCAAGACUUCAAGGCAUCACCGGAGGCUCGAUCAUUAAUUCAUGCAGGACACAAAAAGGAGAAAGAGAACAUCCCUCCGGUGCUAUGUACGGAGACCAAUAGGAUACAACACCUGCCUGAAGCUCUAACCAUUGGAAAAAGUCCGGAACAAAAGUUGCUAAGAGGCAUAGGGAAAUUGCCUGUCUGCCCAACUGUGCUUGCCCAACCUGAGGCCACUAGUGUUCCAGAAGCAUUAACCAUGGGAAAAAGCCUGGAACAAAAGUUGCCAAGAGCCAUAGGGAAAUUGCCUGUCUGCUCAACUGUACUUGCCCAACCUGAGGCCACAAGUGUUCCAGAAGCAGUAGAAGCAACUGGCCAAGGGAACACUUCCCAUUUCUCUCAUGUGGAGGAGAUGUACCAUGAAUUCAUGCGUGUUAGUGGGAAGACAACCAAUGCACUAGAAGUCAAUGUUCUAGAUGUGAGUGAGCUGUUUGCAAGCGUAAAGGUAAUUGAAUAUGGCAAAAACUUUGUCACGGUGAGGGAGCUUGCAAACUCAAUGAAGAAAGAAGGUUUUGUCUUGAGCCAUGUAAUGGAAGUUGGUAUACAGAAUAUAAUGAUGAACUUGCCACCAGACUCAAAGAAGCUUGUGAUGCCCGUCAGGUUCUCGGUUCAGAUGCUAAACAUGGAAUUGAACGGCAAGGAGCUCAUUUCCCGGUUCAAGAAGUCGAAUCGCUUGGACCGUAAAGACAUGAUCAUGUUCCCAGUGUUAGAGAACAUCUACAAGACAAAACCUAAAACAGGCAAUCAUUACUGGAUUUUUAACGUGAACAUAAGGGAUCGACGUUUUGAAACUCUUGAUUCUUGGAGGACGCUCAAGAACAAGUCUUUAGAUGUUUCCGCAAGGAAGAUGGUUGCAAGUUUUCGGUCUCUAUGGGAAGAGCAUUACGCCAGUUCCCACGUCUCGCUGGAUGAGUUUGGGCUUACCAACAUCGAUGUUCCAAAACAAAAUAACGAGUAA